UCCUUUUGUAUAUAAUUUAAGGUCUAGCCUGCCCACUGAAAUUUUAAAUGGCCGUGGUAUUUUGACCGUGCUAAGGUAGCAUAAUCAUUAGUUUUUUAAUUAAAAACUGGAAUGAAAGGUUGGAUGAGAGAAUAGCUGUCUCUAUUAAAUUUAAUUAGAAUUUUAUUUUUAAGUUAAAAAGCUUAAUUAUUAUUAAAAGACGAGAAGACCCUAUAGAGUUUAAUUAUUUAGUAAAAAUUAUAUUUUAGUAUUAAUUUAUUUAUUUUAUUAAAUAAUUUAAUUGGGGUGAUUGAAAAAUUUAAUUAACUUUUUUUAUUUAAGAACAUUAAUUUAUGAAUAAAUGAUCCAAUAUUUUUGAUUAUAAGAUAAAAUUACCUUAGGGAUAACAGCGUAAUUUUUUUAGAAAGUUCAUAUUAAAAAAAAAGAUUGCGACCUCGAUGUUGGAUUAAAAUAAAUUUUUGGUGUAGAAGCUAAAAUAUUAGGUCUGUUCGACCUUUAAAAUUUUACAUGAU
rnacentral:rRNA from 1 species